UACGAAGGGUGCAAGCGUUGUUCGGAUUAACUGGGCGUAAAGGGUGUGUAGGUUGCUUGCUAAGUAAGAUGUCAAAUCCAUGGGUCUAACCUGUGUCCGCAUCUUAUACUGGUAGGAUUGAGUUUGUUAGAGGAAAGUGGAAUUCCUAGUGGAGAGGUAGAAUUCUUAGAUAUUAGGAGGAACGCCAGAGGCGAAAGCGACUUUCUGGGGCACAACUGACACUGAAACACGAAAGCGUGGGUAGCAAACAGG
rnacentral:rRNA from 1 species